AACGAACGCUGGCGGCAGGCCUAACACAUGCAAGUCGAACGCCCCGCAAGGGGAGUGGCCGACGGGUGAGUAACACGUGGGAACCUUCCCUAUAGUACGGAAUAGCCCAGGGAAACUUGGAGUAAUACCGUAUACGCCCGAAAGGGGAAAGAAUUUCGCUAUAGGAUGGGCCCGCGUAGGAUUAGCUAGUUGGGGAGGUAAUGGCUCGCCAAGGCGACGAUCCUUAGCUGGUUUGAGAGAACGACCAGCCACACUGGGACUGAGACACGGCCCAGACUCCUACGGGAGGCAGCAGUGGGGAAUAUUGGACAAUGGGCGCAAGCCUGAUCCAGCCAUGCCGCGUGAGUGAUGAAGGCCUUAGGGUUGUAAAGCUCUUUUGGCGGGGACGAUAAUGACGGUACCCGCAGAAUAAGUCCCGGCUAACUUCGUG
rnacentral:rRNA from 1 species